UACGUAGGUGGCAAGCGUUGUCCGGAUUUAUUGGGCGUAAAGAGCUCGUAGGCGGCUCAGUAAGUCAGGUGUGAAAACUCCAGGCUCAACCUGGAGACGCCACCUGAUACUGCUGUGGCUAGAGUCCGGUAGGGGAGCAUGGAAUUCCUGGUGUAGCGGUGAAAUGCGCAGAUAUCAGGAGGAACACCAGUGGCGAAGGCGGUGCUCUGGGCCGGAACUGACGCUGAGGAGCGAAAGCGUGGGGAGCAAACAGG
rnacentral:rRNA from 1 species